rnacentral:misc_RNA from 1 species
UCCGGCUUGUCGCCGGCGGUCCCUUUAGAGUGCCCAACUAAAUGUGGCAACUAAUGGCAAGGGUUGCGCUCGUUGCGGGACUUAACCCAACAUCUCACGACACGAGCUGACGACAGCCAUGCAGCACCUGUGUCCAGGUUCCCUUUCGGGCACCCCUCCAUCUCUGGAGGAUUCCUGGCAUGUCAAGGGUAGGUAAGGUUUUUCGCGUUGCAUCGAAUUAAACCACAUCAUCCACCGCUUGUGCGGGCCCCCGUCAAUUCCUUUGAGUUUCAGCCUUGCGGCCGUACUCCCCAGGCGGGGCACUUAAUGCGUUAGCUACGGCACGGAACCCGUCGAUAGGGUCCCACACCUAGUGCCCAACGUUUACGGCGUGGACUAC